rnacentral:rRNA from 1 species
UACGAAGGGGCUAGCGUUGUUCGGAAUUACUGGGCGUAAAGCGCACGUAGGCGGAUAUUUAAGUCAGGGUGAAAUCCCGGGCCUCAACCCGGAACUGCCUUUGAUACUGGGUAUCUCGAGUCCGAGAGAGGUGAGUGGAAUUCCGAGUGUAGAGGUGAAAUUCGUAGAUAUUCGGAAGGAACACCAGUGGCGAAGGCGGCUCACUGGCUCGGUACUGACGCUGAGGUGCGAAAGCGUGGGAGCAACA